rnacentral:rRNA from 1 species
AGUGAACGCUGGCGGUAGGCCUAACACAUGCAAGUCGAACGGCAGCACAGUAAGAGCUUGCUCUUACGGGUGGCGAGUGGCGGACGGGUGAGGAAUACAUCGGAAUCUACUUUUUCGUGGGGGAUAACGUAGGGAAACUUACGCUAAUACCGCAUACGACCUACGGGUGAAAGUAGGGGAUCUUCGGACCUUGCGCGAUUGAAUGAGCCGAUGUCGGAUUAGCUAGUUGGCGGGGUAAAGGCCCACCAAGGCGACGAUCCGUAGCUGGUCUGAGAGGAUGAUCAGCCACACUGGAACUGAGACACGGUCCAGACUCCUACGGGAGGCAGCAGUGGGGAAUAAUGGACAAUGGGCGCAAGCCUGAUCCAGCCAUACCGCGUGGGUGAAGAAGGCCUUCGGGUUGUAAAGCCCUUUUGUUGGGAAAGAAAAGCAGCAGGUUAAUACCCCGCUGUUCUGACGGUACCCAAAGAAUAAGCACCGGCUAACUUCGUG